rfam:Myotis brandtii contig242341, whole genome shotgun sequence.
GGCAGUUCUCAGGUGACACACCCCGGAAUCGGGCUCCCUCCACUGGUUCCAGGGUGUGUCACCUGAGAACCAGCG